UACGUAGGGGGCUAGCGUUGUCCGGAAUCAUUGGGCGUAAAGAGCGCGCAGGCGGUCGUUCAAGUCGAGUGUGAAAGCCCCCGGCUCAACUGGGGAGGGUCAUUCGAUACUGAUCGACUCGAAGGCAGGAGAGGGAAGCGGAAUUCCCGGUGUAGUGGUGAAAUGCGUAGAUAUCGGGAGGAACACCAGUGGUGAAGGCGGCUUCCUGGCCUGUUCUUGACGCUGAGGCGCGAAAGCUAGGGGAGCAAACGGG
rnacentral:rRNA from 1 species